UUCAGUGUGCUGUAUAGACAC
rnacentral:miRNA from 1 species